ACGCGGCGGCGUGCUUACACUGCAGUCGAACGGGGUUAUGUCUUGAAUCAUCAAGUAGUUUACUAUGAGGUGUGGAGGAUAUAACUUAGUGGCGGACGGGUGAGUAACGCGUGAGGGCUUGUCCAUAGCAGGGGGACAACAGUUGGAAACGGCUGCUAAUACCGCAUACGCGUGCCUUGAGGUGCGUAAAAGGAAUUUAUUCCGGCAAUGGAGGGACUCGCGUCCUAUCAGCUAGUAGGUGAGGUAACGGCUCACCUAGGCGAUGACGGGUAGCCGGCCUGAGAGGGCGCACGGCCACACUGGGACUGAGAUACGGCCCAGACUCCUACGGGAGGCAGCAGUGGGGAAUAUUGGGCAAUGGGGGAAACCCUGACCCAGCGACGCCGCGUGAGUGAAGAAGUCUUUCGGGACGUAAAGCUCUUUUGUGCGGGAAGAAGAAGAUGACGGUACCGCACGAAUAAGCCCCGGCAAACUACGUGCCAGCAGCCGCGGUAAUACGUAGGGGGCAAGCGUUGUCCGGAAUUACUGGGCGUAAAGGGCACGCAGUGCGGACUGUUAAGUCAGUUGUGAAAUGCAGGGGCUCAACUCCUGUCUGUCGACUGAUACUGGUAGUCUUGACUAUGUGACGACGGAAGUGGAAUUC
rnacentral:rRNA from 1 species